rnacentral:tRNA from 1 species
GGUCCCGUGGUGUAGCGGUUAGCACUCAGAACUCUGAAUCCUGCGACGGGAAUUCAAAUCUUCCCGGUACCU